GACGAACGCUGGCGGCGUGCUUAACACAUGCAAGUCGAACGGAAAGGCCCUGCUUUCGUGGGGUUCUCGAGGGGCGAACGGGAGAGUAACACGUGAGUAACCUGCCCUUGACUUUGGGAUAACUUCAGGAAACUGGGGCUAAUACCGGAUAGGAGCUCCUGCUGCAUGGUGGGGGUUGGAAAGUUUCGGCGGUUGGGGAUAGACUCUCGGCUAAUCAGCUGGUGGGGGGGGGAGUGGCGUACCAAGGGAUUGACGGAUAGCCGGCAUGAGAGGGUGGCCGGCGACCUUGCGACUGAGAGAGGGAGCAGUAUCGAAUCUGAGGCAGUAGUCGGGAAUCUUACACAGUGGGCGGGAGCGUGUUGCAAAAAUGUCGCGAUCGGGAUGACGGCCUUCGGGUUGUAAACCGCUUUCGGCUGAGACGAUGCGUGAGUGACGGUAACGAGUAAAGAAGCACCGGCUAACUACGUG
rnacentral:rRNA from 1 species